GGCUACCAUGCAGUCGAGGGGCAGCAUUUCAGUUUGCUUGCAAACUGGAGAUGGCGACCGGCGCACGGGUGAGUAACACGUAUCCAACCUGCCGAUAACUCGGGGAUAGCCUUUCGAAAGAAAGAUUAAUACCCGAUGGUAUAAUCAGACCGCAUGGUCUUAUUAUUAAAGAAUUUCGGUUAUCGAUGGGGAUGCGUUCCAUUAGGCAGUUGGUGAGGUAACGGCUCACCAAACCUUCGAUGGAUAGGGGUUCUGAGAGGAAGGUCCCCCACAUUGGAACUGAGACACGGUCCAAACUCCUACGGGAGGCAGCAGUGAGGAAUAUUGGUCAAUGGGCGCAGGCCUGAACCAGCCAAGUAGCGUGAAGGAUGACUGCCCUAUGGGUUGUAAACUUCUUUUAUAUGGGAAUAAAGUUUUCCACGUGUGGAAUUUUGUAUGUACCAUAUGAAUAAGGAUCGGCUAACUCCGUGCCAGCAGCCGCGGUAAUACGGAGGAUCCGAGCGUUAUCCGGAUUUAUUGGGUUUAAAGGGAGCGUAGGUGGACAGUUAAGUCAGUUGUGAAAGUUUGCGGCUCAACCGUAAAAUUGCAGUUGAUACUGGCUGUCUUGAGUACAGUAGAGGUGGGCGGAAUUCGUGGUGUAGCGGUGAAAUGCUUAGAUAUCACGAAGAACUCCGAUUGCGAAGGCAGCUCACUGGACUGCAACUGACACUGAUGCUCGAAAGUGUGGGUAUCAAACAGGAUUAGAUACCCUGGUAGUCCACACAGUAAACGAUGAAUACUCGCUGUUUGCGAUAUACAGUAAGCGGCCAAGCGAAAGCAUUAAGUAUUCCACCUGGGGAGUACGCCGGCAACGGUGAAACUCAAAGGAAUUGACGGGGGCCCGCACAAGCGGAGGAACAUGUGGUUUAAUUCGAUGAUACGCGAGGAACCUUACCCGGGCUUAAAUUGCAUUUGAAUANUNUGGAAACAGNNUAGCCGCAAGGCAAAUGUGAAGGUGCUGCAUGGUUGUCGUCAGCUCGUGCCGUGAGGUGUCGGCUUAAGUGCCAUAACGAGCGCAACCCUUAUCUUUAGUUACUAACAGGUCAUGCUGAGGACUCUAGAGAGACUGCCGUCGUAAGAUGUGAGGAAGGUGGGGAUGACGUCAAAUCAGCACGGCCCUUACGUCCGGGGCUACACACGUGUUACAAUGGGGGGUACAGAAGGCAGCUACCUGGUGACAGGAUGCUAAUCCCAAAAGCCUCUCUCAGUUCGGAUCGAAGUCUGCAACCCGACUUCGUGAAGCUGGAUUCGCUAGUAAUCGCGCAUCAGCCAUGGCGCGGUGAAUACGUUCCCGGGCCUUGUACACACCGCCCGUCAAGCCAUGAAAGCCGGGGGUACCUGAAGUACGUAACCGCAAGGAGCUCCUAGG
rnacentral:rRNA from 1 species